rnacentral:sRNA from 1 species
UUUAAAAAAUCUGGAUCAAAGCYGAAAAAUUGAAAACGACACACAGCUCAUGUGUGUUCGAGUCUCUCAAAWUUUUCGCAASUCGAUGAAGUGAAWCGAAAGAAGCAUCUUCGG